UCGUCACACUAUCAUUAACUGAAUCCAUAGGUUAAUGAGGCGAACCGGGGGAACUGAAACAUCUAAGUACCCCGAGGAAAAGAAAUCAACCGAGAUUCCCCCAGUAGCGGCGAGCGAACGGGGAGGAGCCCAGAGCCUGAAUCAGCAUGUGUGUUAGUGGAAGCGUCUGGAAAGGCGCGCGAUACAGGGUGACAGCCCCGUACACAAAAGCGCAUGUGCUGUGAGCUCGAUGAGUAGGGCGGGACACGUGGUAUCCUGUCUGAAUAUGGGGGGACCAUCCUCCAAGGCUAAAUACUCCUGACUGACCGAUAGUGAACCAGUACCGUGAGGGAAAGGCGAAAAGAACCCCGGCGAGGGGAGUGAAAAAGAACCUGAAACCGUGUACGUACAAGCAGUGGGAGCACAGGUUUACCUGUGUGACUGCGUACCUUUUGUAUAAUGGGUCAGCGACUUAUAUUCUGUAGCAAGGUUAACCGAAUAGGGGAGCCGGAGGGAAACCGAGUCUUAAUUGGGCGUUAAGUUGCAGGGUAUAGACCCGAAACCCGGUGAUCUAGCCAUGGGCAGGUUGAAGGUUGGGUAACACUAACUGGAGGACCGAACCGACUAAUGUUGAAAAAUUAGCGGAUGACCUGUGGCUGGGGGUGAAAGGCCAAUCAAACCGGGAGAUAGCUGGUUCUCCCCGAAAGCUAUUUAGGUAGCGCCUCGUGAAUUCAUCUCCGGGGGUAGAGCACUGUUUCGGCUAGGGGGCCAUCCCGGCUUACCAACCCGAUGCAAACUGCGAAUACCGGAGAAUGUUAUCACGGGAGACACACGGCGGGUGCUAACGUCCGUCGUGAAGAGGGAAACAACCCAGACCGCCAGCUAAGGUCCCAAAGUCAUGGUUAAGUGGGAAACGAUGUGGGAAGGCCCAGACAGCCAGGAUGUUGGCUUAGAAGCAGCCAUCAUUUAAAGAAAGCGUAAUAGCUCACUGGUCGAGUCGGCCUGCGCGGAAGAUGUAACGGGGCUAAACCAUGCACCGAAGCUGCGGCAGCGACACUCAGGUGUUGUUGGGUAGGGGAGCGUUCUGUAAGCCUGCGAAGGUGGCCUGUGAGGGUUGCUGGAGGUAUCAGAAGUGCGAAUGCUGACAUAAGUAACGAUAAAGCGGGUGAAAAGCCCGCUCGCCGGAAGACCAAGGGUUCCUGUCCAACGUUAAUCGGGGCAGGGUGAGUCGACCCCUAAGGCGAGGCCGAAAGGCGUAGUCGAUGGGAAACGGGUUAAUAUUCCCGUACUUGGUGUUACUGCGAAGGGGGGACGGAGAAGGCUAUGUUGGCCGGGCGACGGUUGUCCCGGUUUAAGCGUGUAGGUGUGUGUUCCAGGUAAAUCCGGUUCACUUUAACACUGAGGCGUGAUGACGAGGCACUACGGUGCUGAAGCAACAAAUGCCCUGCUUCCAGGAAAAGCCUCUAAGCAUCAGGUAACAUCAAAUCGUACCCCAAACCGACACAGGUGGUCAGGUAGAGAAUACCAAGGCGCUUGAGAGAACUCGGGUGAAGGAACUAGGCAAAAUGGUGCCGUAACUUCGGGAGAAGGCACGCUGACA
rnacentral:rRNA from 1 species